rnacentral:rRNA from 1 species
AUAGCGUAUAUUAAAGUUGUUGCAGUUAAAACGCUCGUAGUUGAACUUCAGACCUGGCUGGGCGGUCCGCUUAACGGCGUGUACUGUCCGGCUGGGCCUUACCUCUUGGUGAGCCGGCGUGCCCUUUAUUGGUGUGCGUCGGGGAACCAGGACUUUUACCUUGAGAAAAUUAGAGUGUUCAAAGCAGGCCUAUGCCCGAAUACAUUAGCAUGGAAUAAUAAAAUAGGACGUGCGGUUCUAUUUUGUUGGUUUCUAGAGUCGCCGUAAUGAUUAAUAGGGAUAGUUGGGGGCAUUGGUAUUGAGUCGCUAGAGGUGAAAUUCUUGGAUUGACUCAAGACCAACUGUUG